GCGGAUAUAGCUCAGUGGGUAGUAGAGCGCGACCACGCCAUGGUCGAGGCCCCGGGUUCGAACCCCGGUAUCCGCU
rnacentral:tRNA from 1 species